rnacentral:misc_RNA from 1 species
UACGGAGGGUGCAAGCGUUAUCCGGAAUCACUGGGUUUAAAGGGUGCGUAGGCGGAAUAAUAAGUCAGGCGUGAAAGGUUACAGCUUAACUGUAGACUUGCGUUUGAUACUGUUAUUCUUGAAUUAAGAUGAGGUUGGCAGAAUGCGACAUGUAGCGGUGAAAUGCAUAGAUAUGUCGUAGAAUACCGAUUGCGAAGGCAGCCAACCGGACUUAAAUUGACGCUGAGGCACGAAAGCGUGGGGAGCGAACAGG